rnacentral:sRNA from 1 species
GGCAGUUCUUUGUGUUUAUUCUGAGAAGGACCCCUAUGGAAGGGCCUGUUAGUAGGAGUUACUACUUCCUCAUUGUUUCUGGGGAAUCAUACUGCAGUGAAACGUUCCAAAGCAGAUGUUUCAGACCAAGAGACAAAUGUUAAAUCAAAUGCAAGAACAGCCCAUAUGCAAACAAUAAUCCUUUUUCCCCAGGAGAUACCCUUAGAGAUGCCUCCAGGCUAGACUGGAGGAAAAAUAGUCCAGCAGCAGCAGAACUGGACUUGAAACGAGACUAACUUCAUGAGUGCAAUUUAACAUAUCUCUAAGAAGUAUCCAUUUGUGUAUAUGGAGAUCAAAACAUUUCUGCUUCUGUCAUGUAUUUUCUGAUUAAAUUUAGUACCAACCUGGUUUACCAAACUUUGAGACAACUUAUGAAAAGGACCCCUUUGGAUUAAAAUUUAAAUCACAACACUUAAGUACAGUACAUGGGUACCAGUUACCGAAAGAUAAUAAACAGAAGAAUACUACAGAAAGAUUUAUCACCCACAAGCAUCGUGAAUGCACCUGGGAUUCAAAACUAAUUUUGACGAAAGCCCCAUGGCCUGUUAGAUCUGCUUCAUAUACAGGCCUGCUAUCUGUCAUGUGAUGCGACACUAGGGUCAGGUUGAAAUCGGUAUUUUAUUGCUGCAAAGAGCUGUUUGUUUUGUCAGUCUUAAGAUCUCUGUUUUAAUAUUAAUGCUGAGACAUAGAAGGCAGCGUGAUGCAUACAGUGCAUUUAUGGAUCGUGUGGAAGAAAAGUUUACAAAGAUAUGCAAGAGCAGAUAGCUGAUGGACCAAAACAGCAUAGGGCUUCCUGAACUCUGGCCUGAAUGUUCAUCUCCCGUGCAUUUCCCAGUGAGAACAUUGAUGAAUUCUGGCACCUUCCUGGAUUCUACAGAAAUCUGCACUCUCCCAGAGACAUGAGAAAGUGCUAAAACAACAAAUGAAAGUUGCAUAAUUUGAAAUUCCCUUGUUACCACAUGGAUCAGAAUCCAAUCAUCAGGCUUUUGAUUUAGUUUGUGAAAGUUAGAUCUUGCAACUAUGAGUGGAAAUGCUGAUAAUGUGCUUUCUGUUAAUGUCCAAAGUUAAAGAGAUGCUCUAGUCUCAGGUAAAGCUAAUGUGAGACAAACAACAAUAAUGCUUACUAAUUUUGACCACCAUGUUUCUCUAAGGCCAAAGAUUGCAAAUUUUAUCUGUUUGCAUCCUUCAUAGAAAUAAGAAUUCUCUGGAUAUAGCAUACAUUCUACUAAAGGAUGACUGUUAUGCUGUGUGGGAAAGUAAUAGUUAAAAAUCAAAUAUUUUUACUUUAAAAAAUAGAGAACAAGGUAGCAACCAGAAUUGAAGUCAUUCAAAUAUAAAUGGGGCACUUUCCCAGAAGAUGUCAUCCAAAGACAAAAAAAUAGGAAAGUUUAAUUCAUGACACAGUGAAGUUCUUCUACGGUUUAAAUUGUUCCUGGAAAUAGAUUUUAUUUUCAGGAAUCAUAGGAUGCCAGGUGGUUAGUGAUAGUGUUUAUUUCUGAAAAAAAAAAGAAAAAGAGUAUAUGUAUGAGCUUUGUGUUCACAUAUACAAGGUGGCAUAGGUUGAAAUAAUGAACAUUUAUUUAGUAUGUUUAUGGCAUAUUGAAAUCAAUAUUUGAAUCUUCAUUUUUCAGUUUUUUCUAAUACACUUUAAGAAGCUUCUCUGAGACACUCAAGUAUAUCAAAAGAGAGAAGAUCUCCAAGUAACAGAAAUACUAAAUGUCCUUCUUAAAGAACACCAGGCUUGGAGAAUUUAUAGUUCCAACUAGAAGGAAAGGUCUGUCUUUUAACAUGUUAAAAUAAUUUUCUAAAUUUUUGUUUAAAUAUUUUGAGGGAAAGAAAACAAAUGACGUGAAACUUCUUUGUUUCUGAUCAAGAUUUGAUGAUUAUAAUUGAAAAUUAAUAAAAGGGGAGGGUAGGAUUUAAUGCUAUUGCCAGUUUUAUUGAAUGGAUUAUCCUAUCACCUUUCCAAUUUCACUAUGAAAACUACUGAAAUAAAGGCAAGUACGUAUUUAAUAGCUCUGUUGACAUAAGCAACAUUAAGUGGAAA